AGCAGCAGAUAAAAAGCACAGACACCCCUCCUAUCUUUUAGUGCUACCAAUUAUUUGAGCAGCAGGCGAAUCGGCCCCCACGCCGAAGAGAACGAAGGAGCUACGGUUAACGGGAGGUUCCUUUAGAGGGCGAAGGGGUUGAAUGAAAAAUCUGUCUUAUAAAAUAGAAAAAACAAAACGUAAGCAUUCGCGAAGCUUGUUUGCCAUUUCUUCCUUUUUUCUUUCCUUUUUUUCUUUUUUUUCUAGUCUACGGGUAACAAUUCUAGAAUUUGACUGCAAUUUAAAUUCCCACCCACCACUCGUCCCUUCGCUUUUAAAUACAUCACUCACCUCCACUUGUCGGGGGGGUGUUUCGCCAGGAAGCAGGAGGAAAUUCCUCUCUGACCUGGAGGAAAAGUGGGCGCACACCGCAGACAGGGUCCUUCCAGUCCUUGAGAUGUUUGAGUUGGAGAAGCAGGACUGACAGAAGGAGCAUGGUCAAACACCAACCCCUGCAAGUCUAUGAGCGCCAGCUGUGUUUGUCUUGUAUCACCGGGAUCUACGGUUGCCGCUGGAAACGCUAUCAACGCUCCCAUGAUGACACCACCAAGUGGGAGCUUCUGUGGUCCCUCAUCCUCCUUUUUACGUUCUGUGCUCUGCUGGUCUGGUUUUACUUCUGGUUGGAAGCUCACAACGACUACAAUGAGUUUAACUGGUUCCUCUACAACCGCUCUGGCGAGUGGAGCGAUGGCACCGUUCCAAUCUUGGCCACUACUGCUGCUGGCUUUACCUACAUAGCCUUUUUAAUGGUUUUAGCCCUUUGUCAUGUUGCACUUGGCCAACAGCUGAAUUUGCAUUGGCUGCAUAAGAUAGGAGUCACAGUGGCUCUACUUACAACUGUUGUCGGGGUGAUAUCCAUCAAUCAAACAUGGCAGCAUGAGUGGGACAUCAUCCCAAUCUCCCUGCAGGCCACAGGACCAUUUCUGCACAUCGGUGCCGUCGCUGCUGUCACAGCUUUGUCCUGGAUAGUAGCCGGACAGGUCUCUGGGGCAGAUAAGACGUCAUUCCAGGUGGUGGUCAUGCUACUGUAUCUCUGCGUGUUACUGGGCCUAUAUGCUGUGCCGCUGUACAUCACCUCUCCUUGCAUCAUAGACCCCAGCAAUCUCCGGCCCCGUCCUAAUGUUAUUGGUCACCAGGGGGCCCCUAUGCUUGCGCCAGAAAACACAAUGUGGUCCUUUCAGCGAGCACUGCAAAUGAACGUCACCGGGUUGGAGGCUGACGUCACAAUCAGUGUUGAUGGUGUUCCAUUCCUGAUGCACGACCACACCCUGCGCAGGACCACUGAUGUAGAGAAAAUUUUUCCCGAUAGGCAGAUGGAGGAGGCCUCUCGCUUCAAUUGGACCAAUCUGGAGCAGCUAAAUGCGGGACGUUGGUUCCUCAAGGAUGACCCCUUCUGGACGAUACACACACUCUCGCCCCACGAAAGGAACUUGAUUGCUAACCAGAGUGUAUGCAACCUGGAGCAGCUUCUAAAGCUAGCUUCUUAUCAUAACACCACUGUGGUGUUCAAACUCAGGAGACCUCCUUUUGGUCACCCCUGUUACGACAGCUGGAUCAAUGACACUCUGCAGGCUGUGGAGCGUUCUGGGAUUCCUCAAAAUCUGGUAAUGUGGACUCCAAAUAAAGACAGAGAUCAGGUGAGACAGCUUGCACCUGGUCUUGUCCAGACAUCCUUGGAAAAAAAAAGUCCUCAAAGCCUCAAAGAGUCAGGAAUCAGCAGGCUCCUGCUCAGAUACAACCAGGCCAGCACUCAGGAAAUCAGGGAUUUGGCAGAGAAAAACAUUAGCCUCACAGUCUACACGGUCAACGAGCCCUGGCUUUACUCAGUACUGUGGUGUAGUGGUGUGUCUUCUGUGUCAUCUGAGGCACCACAUAUCCUCAAAAAGGUGCCUUACCCCAUCUGGCUCUUGAGAGCAGAUGAAUACUGCAUGAUGUGGGUGUGUGCUGACCUCACCUCCUUUGUGGUGGUUAUAGGAAUAUUCAUUUUACAGAACUAUCACAUGAUCAGGUAUCGUACCAGCGGCAUGCGCAGCUACAACCCAGAGCAGAUCAUGCUGAGUGCCGCCGUGAGGAGGUCCAGUCGGGACCUCAACGUCAUGAAGGAGAAGCUCAUUUUCUCCGGUCAAGCCCGGUAGUCGCCUCAUCCUGUGCAUCCUCCCAUGUGUGAUGUGCCAAUCGUCUCCACCAUCAUCCUUUUUAAUUCCAUGUCUCCCUCGCUACCUGCUGCCUCUUUUCCGCAUCCUACAUCCCUUCGUGCAACCUUCCACCCUCGCCCCCUACACUCCCUUAUGGGGAGAGUACCAUGCUUUGGGAAGCUUAUAUGUGGCCCAGUCUGUCUUACACUGGGGGGUUUGAGAAGUCGGGAACAGCGUCGGGAGCGGCGAGGAGCCUUAACCAGAUAUGACUAUGACUACUAAGCCGACAGAAGUGCAAGCCACUGAUGGAGGAAGCUAGCCGUCUGUUGUCUUGUGUACAUUUUGUAAAUAGGCUUCGGCUUGCCCGACGCGUAUUGUACUCUGCACUUUUAAAUCCGUGGAAUUCAUAUGGCUUGUGUGUCAUUUUUAAUAGUAUAAUGAGUCCAUAUCCUUUUCAAGCUCAUUUUCACAAAAAGCAGCUCCUUCCAUUUUAAGCACUGAUGCCUUUUUAUAUUUAAAUAUAUAAUCAACCUGUAUUUCAGAAGAUGAAAUGCUUUGAGCUCAUCUUUCUUUCAUCCUCCCACUCUGCUGUGGAUCCUGAUGUACAAUACUGUAUAUCCAAAGUGUGAAACAAAGGGUGUAAAUGCUGUCUAAAGUCCUCCGAGUGCAUGAACAGUUAUGAUUAUGUAAAACAUGUGAGCUGUACAGCUGGGACAAGAAAGUGUUACUCGUCUUUUGAAACCACUUCUAGUAUGUAUUCAAGUUGGUUGUAUGCGUGUCUGGGUGUGCUUAAGCUUGUGUGCUGAGUUGUACAUGUGAUACUAUAUAAACAUAAAAACUGCAAGCCAACAAAGGUCAUUUUGAGUCAUUUGACUGUAUUGAUUGAACUUAUUUCAUUUGGCUGCAGUCAAGUCGACAGCGGGUGAUGUUUACAAACCAAAACUAUAUUCAUGUAGGUUGCUGCUGUAAAAAUGUUGAAGUGUGAAUACAACUAAGUUAACUAAAGGGACACUAAUGGGGGCAACAUGCCUUACGUGUUAAAUUUCCUCAUUGAAUUGUACUGUGCCUCAGAAGUUUAAUAAAAUUAGAACAACUACUUGUCCAGUCUUUUAAGAUGAUAUUGCACAUUACUGUGAUUUCAUGUCAAAUGUCAUUGAUAUUUUCGUUUUAUAUCAUUUUUACAAAAGUUCAUAUACUGUUUUGUUUUGACAGGUGAUACAUUUUCCUUCAAUAAUUUCACAUUUUACUCAUCACAUAAGUUGUAAUAAAAUUUUCAGUAUUUUUUUCCCCCCCAAAUGUAUAAUAAAGUAAGCCGAAAAGCCUGGAAAAUGGAUCUAAAAAUGACUGAAUUUGACUUAGUGUUUUCACAAAAUUAUUGAUUGGCAGUUUGCAUUUUUCAAUAUUUAACCAUCUGAUGCCUGAAUUAUGAAAGCCAAGGUUGAUUU